UACGUAGGGGGCAAGCGUUGUCCGGAAUCAUUGGGCGUAAAGAGCGUGUAGGCGGACUUAAAGGUCUGGUGUGAAAGCCCGGGGCUCAACCCCGGAGGGUCACUGGAAACCAUAAGUCUUGAAUCUGGAAGAGGAGAGUGGAAUUCCUGGUGUAGCGGUGGAAUGCGCAGAUAUCAGGAGGAACACCAAUGGCGAAGGCAGCUCUCUGGUACAUGAUUGACGCUGAGACGCGAAAAGCGUGGGGAGCGAACAGG
rnacentral:rRNA from 1 species